UACAGAGGUCUCAAGCGUUGUUCGGAUUCAUUGGGCGUAAAGGGUGCGUAGGCGGUUCUGUAAGUCGGGUGUGAAAUUUCGGAGCUUAACUCCGAAACUGCAUUCGAUACUGCGGUGCUUGAGGACUGGAGAGGAGACUGGAAUUCAUGGUGUAGCAGUGAAAUGCGUAGAGAUCAUGAGGAAGACCAGUGGCGAAGGCGGGUCUCUGGACAGUUCCUGACACUGAGGCACGAAGGCCAGGGGAGCAAACGGG
rnacentral:rRNA from 1 species